rnacentral:misc_RNA from 1 species
UCUCCGUUGGUGAACCAGCGGAGGGAUCAUUAUCGAGUUUAUAACUCCCAAACCCUAUGUGAACUUGCCACUUGUUGCUUCGGCGCGCGCUUCGGUGCCGCCGAGGACACUCAAACUCUUUGUUUUUAUAAGCAUUUCUGAGUGGCCGAAAGGCAAAAUACAAAUGAAUCAAAACUUUCAACAACGGAUCUCUUGGUUCUG